GAAUCAGCCCAUUCUUUGAAAUUUCAAAGCCAAGCAUUGACUGCGCGCUCGGUCGAAGAGGACGACCAUCCCCGAUAGAGGAGGACCGGUCUUCGGUCAAGGGUAUACGAGUAGCUGCGCUCCCCUGCUAGAACCUCCAGACUUUUCUUUAGCUAUAAAAGUCCUAGAUGGCAGCUUCUUCCAAUACAAGGCUGUUUCAUUUACACUUAAAAUUUGUUUUUAAGUGUAUUCAU
rnacentral:snRNA from 1 species